AUGGGCCUACAAUUUCCCAUCAGGCCCAUUGGUUCGAGGCUCCUGCCCUCUGCAGUAGGAGGAAACAAGCUUACUCCAUCUUCCAUGUGACAGACCUUCAAAUAUCUAAAGAUGGCUAUCACAGCAGGUGAUGGAAAGAGUACCAGGAAAGUUCCUUCCUGACAGGUGACACCUGAAACAGUGUUAGUUCUGCAGAUCGAAGCAGUCAAGUGGAUGUAUAUGGGGCAAGGUGGUUUCACAGCUUCCUGUGUUCCUAAGAAGGUCACAGAGGGGAUGGAUUGUUCCUCUUUGACAUUGGACUUCAAUGUUGCUUAUUCUGAUGCUGCAAAGCCAAUUUUUAUUUUCUUACGAACACUGCCUUCCAUAUUAAUCAAGAGAUCCCAUAAACAGAAGAAAUGCAUUACACCAACCUUCAAUAUUUUGAAAGUACCCUGUAGGUAUGAUUUAUUAUGGGUUUUUUUCCUGCAGCUCUGAAAACUACCUGCACAGGUGAGGGGAAUAAAAACACAGCCAACCUGUUUAAUUGUGCAUUCAACCCAAUUUGCUUCCGUGGUGCUUGAUUGAUGCUUGCCCUUUGUAGAGCAUUUGUUCUGAUUUAUUUCAGGGGAGGGCAUGCAGUAAGGAACAUUCACCCUGAUUUGUUUGCAGAGGUUAUACACCUUCCCAUCAACUGAUCAUCAUCCCACUCUUUUUAGUGCAUUGUCUGGUCAAUUUCCUAUCCACAAAAAAAAAAGUUAAUUUGUUAUAUUGGAGAGGCCACCCACUUUAUAACUUCACAAAUUAUAAAUUUCCAAUAUCUAACUGAACGCACAUCGAAUAACGUGACCAUCUUACAGCAGCCACAGUGUACGGAUUGCCUUGGCUGGAUCUGAACUCAGGGCCACCUAUUCCAGGACUCCGUUGCCAACUGUGGCCAGCCAGAUGCUUCAAGGAAGCCCACAAGCCAGGGCCUCGCCCCUCUUGCCUGCUCUUGAUACCCAGCACUCUGAAUUUUACAGCCUCUGCUUUGCAGAAAUCUGCCUGCCCUGCUUGCAUAAAAGCAAAGCACCCAUAUAUAUUUAAAUAAUGUCCGCCGGGAAUGUUGGUGAUCCCACCACUAGGGGGAGUGUGUCCUUCUCCCACAAUUUCCAUCAUAUUACUCUUAGUUUCACUCCUUAGCAACUUGCCGUUGUGCGGCAAAUUAGCAUCACCACCGACAAAAUGCUUUAGCAAAGAAAGUAGUUUUUGUUUGCUGUCAGGCUCAUGCUUUAAUCCUGAGUGGUUGGAUUCUGUAUUUAAAAGCUAGAAUUGAGGCAGGGCAGUAGAGAAACCGCCUAAGACAGAAAAACUAAAAAUAGCAGUCUUCCCCUAUGACAGUAAAAAUAUCCUAAUAAAUAAGUUUUGCUGUCUGUUUACAGCAGCCCCAAAAUCUGACAAUUGAGUUAGGCAGACUAAUGGUAAGGCCAGCUCUUGUCAGAUUCUCGCCUUGGGGUGAAGCUACAAGUUCAGCUGGACUUACAUAAUUUUAAGGGUCUGCAGCUGCUGCAGAAGAGUGCUUGCUGCAUUUUGGUAAAAGAGGGAUGAGUGUACUCCCAGUGUCGUCAGACUCCAACUCCCAUCAGCUUCACCCAGAAUGUGCAAUGGUCAGGGGUGAUGGGAGUCAAUUGUCAUUGAUUUAUGUGGUGUUUCAUGGAUCAACAUAAGCAAAUAUAUGUCACAGUCCCCUAGCAGCAUACAAUCUAAUGUUGACAGCAAAAUGAGACAGAAAUACCAUAAGCGGUAGGUGGGAAGGAAGAAGGAGGAUUAACAAAGGAUGGAGAUGACAUUGAGAGCUUUGUUUUGUAUUUUUGCUUUGUUUCAAAAACAGCAUUAUACUUCCAGCCAAUUGUCCUUCAUAAGCAUAUUAGCCAAGAAUGUUUGGGGAUAUCUUGGUAAUUUUUCCAUUAAAGCGCUCUCCCAGAUCUGGAGGUACCAAUAUACUCUCUGUUUGAUUUGUUUUCAGUGUGUUAUUAGCAGUGCUUUUUUUUCCUUAAAAAAUAUUUAGGAGUACUCUCAUUUUCCUACUCAUAUUGAAAUACUACCCGUCAAUGAGGCCAAACUUAGAUUUACAAAAUGUUUAGGGGCAUGCGUACCCCCAGAAAAAAAGCACUGGUUAUUAGUAUGUGUCAUUUGAACAGUUUGGGUGGCAUUUUAUUUAUUUACGUUCAUGGAAAUGCUGCUUAGGGGUUUGAUUGAAGAGGCUGAUCUCUUAAAUAAGUAACUAAAGGAAUG